CCAGAAGGAACUCCCUGCAUGCUGUGGUCAUCCCAUCCCUUUUGAGCAGUACCUUCCUGGAAUCACUUCCAAAGUACAAUGCAGGGGAACAGAGCAUCUCUCUCAGAUGCCUGGAGAAGAGGAGCCUGAGAGGGGAACUUCUCCUUCCUGGGCUGCCCAGGAAAGUCAUGGAGGUGCUGUUGUGUGUCCAAAGAAGAGCAAUAAAGCUGGUGCAGGAUCCAGAGCAGGCUUUCCAGG